rnacentral:rRNA from 1 species
UACAGAGGGUGCAAGCGUUGUUCGGAAUUAUUGGGCGUAAAGCGCGUGUAGGCGGCAUAGCAAGUCGGGUGUGAAAGCCCUCAGCUCAACUGAGGAAGUGCGCCCGAAACUGCUGUGCUUGAGUGCCGGAGAGGAUGGCGGAAUUCCCCAAGUAGAGGUGAAAUUCGUAGAUAUGGGGAGGAACACCGGUGGCGAAGGCGGCCAUCUGGACGGUAACUGACGCUGAGACGCGAAAGCGUGGGGAG